rnacentral:rRNA from 1 species
UACGUAGGGGGCAAGCGUUGUCCGGAAUCAUUGGGCGUAAAGAGCGUGUAGGCGGCCCGAUAAGUCCGCUGUGAAAGUCCAGGGCUCAACCCUGGAAUGCCGGUGGAUACUGUCGGGCUCGAAUCCGGAAGAGGUGAGUGGAAUUCCUGGUGUAGCGGUGAAAUGCGCAGAUAUCAGGAAGAACACCAAUGGCGAAGGCAGCUCUCUGGGACGGUACUGACGCUGAGACGCGAAAGCGUGGGGAGCAAACAGG